ACGGGUGAGUAAUGUCUGGGGAUCUGCCCGAUAGAGGGGGAUAACCACUGGAAACGGUGGCUAAUACCGCAUAACGUCGCAAGACCAAAGAGGGGGACCUUCGGGCCUCUCACUAUCGGAUGAACCCAGAUGGGAUUAGCUAGUAGGCGGGGUAACGGCCCACCUAGGCGACGAUCCCUAGCUGGUCUGAGAGGAUGACCAGCCACACUGGAACUGAGACACGGUCCAGACUCCUACGGGAAGCAGCAGUGGGGAAUAUUGCACAAUGGGCGCAAGCCUGAUGCAGCCAUGCCGCGUGUAUGAAGAAGGCCUUCGGGUUGUAAAGUACUUUCAGCGGGGAGGAAGGCGAUGUGGUUAAUAACCUUGUCGAUUGACGUUACCCGCAGAAGAAGCACCGGCUAACUCCGUGCCAGCAGCCGCGGUAAUACGGAGGGUGCAAGCGUUAAUCGGAAUUACUGGGCGUAAAGCGCACGCAGGCGGUCUGUUAAGUCAGAUGUGAAAUCCCCGGGCUUAACCUGGGAACUGCAUUUGAAACUGGCAGGCUUGAGUCUCGUAGAGGGGGGUAGAAUUCCAGGUGUAGC
rnacentral:rRNA from 1 species